GCCAGAAAUUAGAAACAGACUAGAUGUCCACCAACUAAUGAAACACACAAUGGAAUGCUAUUCAGAUGUAAAGAAAAAUGAAGUUAUAAUAUUUUCAGAAAAGCCUUUUGCUUCUGGGAUUCUCUGCAGUGCUGCGGCUGAGCAUCUUCAGUAUUAUCGCUUAAGUCUUUUUCCUUUGCCUCGCAUGUUUAAGAGUCGUUCGGACGUGCCAUCCAUGAGAAGUGCUGCAUUUACACUUUGAAAGUUACAGCAUGGGAGUAGGAUACAGACAAAUGUGUUUCUUCCUUUUAAAAACGAGCCCGAAGUUUUAUUUGUUCAUUCCUUGCAUACGAAGUGGUCUUUGGCAA